UACGGAGGGGGCGAGCGUUGUUCGGAAUUACUGGGCGUAAAGCGCGUGUAGGCGGCCUGCUAAGUCUGAUGUGAAAGCCCGGGGCUCACCCCCGGAAGUGCAUUGGAAACUGGUAGGCUUGAGUCCCGGAGAGGAGGGUGGAAUUCCUGGUGUAGCGGUGAAAUGCGUAGAUAUCAGGAGGAACACCGGUGGUGAAGGCGGCCCUCUGGACGGUGACUGACGCUGAGACGCGAAAGCGUGGGGAGCAAACAGG
rnacentral:rRNA from 1 species